CCUAACACAUGCAAGUCGAACGGUAACAGGAAGAAGCUUAGCUUCUUUGCUGACGAGUGGCGGACGGGUGAGUAAUGUCUGGGAAACUGCCUGAUGGAGGGGGAUAACUACUGGAAACGGUAGCUAAUACCGCAUAACGUCGCAAGACCAAAGAGGGGGACCUUCGGGCCUCUUGCCAUCGGAUGUGCCCAGAUGGGAUUAGCUAGUAGGUGGGGUAACGGCUCACCUAGGCGACGAUCCCUAGCUGGUCUGAGAGGAUGACCAGCCACACUGGAACUGAGACACGGUCCAGACUCCUACGGGAG
rnacentral:rRNA from 1 species